rnacentral:rRNA from 2 species
UCUUUCAGCAGGGACGAAGCGAGAGUGACGGUACCUGCAGAAGAAGCACCGGCCAACUACGUGCCAGCAGCCGCGGUAAUACGUAGGGUGCGAGCGUUGUCCGGAAUUACUGGGCGUAAAGAGCUCGUAGGCGGUUUGUCGCGUCGUCCGUGAAAACUUGGGGCUCAACCCCAAGCUUGCGGGCGAUACGGGCAGACUUGAGUACUGCAGGGGAGACUGGAAUUCCUGGUGUAGCGGUGAAAUGCGCAGAUAUCAGGAGGAACACCGGUGGCGAAGGCGGGUCUCUGGGCAGUAACUGACGCUGAGGAGCGAAAGCGUGGGGUAGCGAACAGGAUUAGA